rnacentral:rRNA from 1 species
UACGUAGGUGACAAGCGUUAUCCGGAUUUAUUGGGCGUAAAGCGCACGUAGGCGGUUUGUUAAGUCGGAUGUGAAAUCCCUCGGCUCAACUGAGGAAGUGCAUCCGAAACUGGCAAGCUUGAGUACGAAAGAGGGUCGCGGAAUUCCCGGUGUAGAGGUGAAAUUCGUAGAUAUCGGGAGGAACACCGGAGGCGAAGGCGGCGACCUGGGUCGAUACUGACGCUGAGGUGCGAAAGCGUGGGGAGCAAACAGG